GCUUCCGUAGUUCAAUGGAUAGAAUAUGGCCCUCCGAAGGCCGAGGUGCAGGUUCGAUUCCUGCCGGGAGCA
rnacentral:tRNA from 1 species